rnacentral:lncRNA from 1 species
GAAAAAUCAAACCAUAAUGAAAUCAGGAGAUGUGGUAUAGUUGACAAUGAAACAAUUUUCCACCAAAGACCAACUGACGUACAUGAUAGCUUGCUAACAUUGGUACAUUUGAUAACACCAGUUUACCAUUUCACUACACUGCAUAUUCACUGAUACAUGAAUUGUCACCACAUUCCUUAUAAAAUAGCACCAUCAUAUUGUUUUAACCGUUCGGCAAUCCAAUUUGCACUGGGUAUAUAUAGGUUUCAUAUAUAUACGGCUUAUCUAUUAGGACGACAGUCUUUUAAAUUGUAUACCUGCUUGUAUGCUUGUACUAAAGCUGCGUAUAUCGUCAGUUUUUUUUUUUAAAUGACAGGUUGCUGGAUUUGGCAUUAUGAUACAUGAUAUAAAAUAACACGCAGAAUACAGACUCCGGCUUACAUGUCGUACAUGCACAAUUUCAAACUGGAAUUUUUGCGCGGAGUGUUUUACUUAUAUAGAGGGUGCAUAUGUUAGCGUAAUUUCAUUCCACCGUGUAUUUAUUCCGGGUAUCUGUUUUUCACUAGAGAAUAUUGGAAGUAAAAAGUGUCACGAGCGUCGAUCUUGGUAUCGUUGUUUUGUUUAUAUUGACCGGUUUAUUGUUUACAUAUACAUUUAUGGGUUGAAAUUAGAAUAAUUUUCAGGGAACCAGUUUAAUAGUCCUU